rnacentral:tRNA from 1 species
UCCCUGGUAGCCCAGUGGUUGAGAAUCUGCCUACCAUGCAGGGCACACAGGUUCAAUUCCUGGUCUGGGAA